AUUGAACGCUGGCGGCAGGCCUAACACAUGCAAGUCGAGCGGUAGCACAGAGAGCUUGCUCUCGGGUGACGAGCGGCGGACGGGUGAGUAAUGUCUGGGAAACUGCCUGAUGGAGGGGGAUAACUACUGGAAACGGUAGCUAAUACCGCAUAAUGUCGCAAGACCAAAGUGGGGGACCUUCGGGCCUCAUGCCAUCAGAUGUGCCCAGAUGGGAUUAGCUAGUAGGUGGGGUAACGGCUCACCUAGGCGACGAUCCCUAGCUGGUCUGAGAGGAUGACCAGCCACACUGGAACUGAGACACGGUCCAGACUCCUACGGGAGGCAGCAGUGGGGAAUAUUGCACAAUGGGCGCAAGCCUGAUGCAGCCAUGCCGCGUGUGUGAAGAAGGCCUUCGGGUUGUAAAGCACUUUCAGCGGGGAGGAAGGCGUUAAGGUUAAUAACCUUGGCGAUUGACGUUACCCGCAGAAGAAGCACCGGCUAACUCCGUGCCAGCAGCCGCGGUAAUACGGAGGGUGCAAGCGUUAAUCGGAAUUACUGGGCGUAAAGCGCACGCAGGCGGUCUGUCAAGUCGGAUGUGAAAUCCCCGGGCUCAACCUGGGAACUGCAUUCGAAACUGGCAGGCUAGAGUCUUGUAGAGGGGGGUAGAAUUCCAGGUGUAGCGGUGAAAUGCGUAGAGAUCUGGAGGAAUACCGGUGGCGAAGGCGGCCCCCUGGACAAAGACUGACGCUCAGGUGCGAAAGCGUGGGGAGCAAACAGGAUUAGAUACCCUGGUAGUCCACGCCGUAAACGAUGUCGAUUUGGAGGUUGUGCCCUUGAGGCGUGGCUUCCGGAGCUAACGCGUUAAAUCGACCGCCUGGGGAGUACAGCCGCAAGGUUAAAACUCAAAUGAAUUGACGGGGGCCCGCACAAGCGGUGGAGCAUGUGGUUUAAUUCGAUGCAACGCGAAGAACCUUACCUGGUCUUGACAUCCACAGAACUUUCCAGAGAUGGAUUGGUGCCUUCGGGAACUGUGAGACAGGUGCUGCAUGGCUGUCGUCAGCUCGUGUUGUGAAAUGUUGGGUUAAGUCCCGCAACGAGCGCAACCCUUAUCCUUUGUUGCCAGCGGUUAGGCCGGGAACUCAAAGGAGACUGCCAGUGAUAAACUGGAGGAAGGUGGGGAUGACGUCAAGUCAUCAUGGCCCUUACGACCAGGGCUACACACGUGCUACAAUGGCAUAUACAAAGAGAAGCGACCUCGCGAGAGCAAGCGGACCUCAUAAAGUAUGUCGUAGUCCGGAUUGGAGUCUGCAACUCGACUCCAUGAAGUCGGAAUCGCUAGUAAUCGUAGAUCAGAAUGCUACGGUGAAUACGUUCCCGGGCCUUGUACACACCGCCCGUCACACCAUGGGAGUGGGUUGCAAAAGAAGUAGGUAGCUUAACCUUCGGGAGGGCGCUUACCACUUUGUGAUUCAUGACUGGGGUGA
rnacentral:rRNA from 1 species